rnacentral:siRNA from 1 species
GAUGUAAUUGGUCAGAUUGUAAU